rnacentral:rRNA from 1 species
GAUGAACGCUGGCGGCGUGCCUAAUACAUGCAAGUCGAGCGAACGGACGAGAAGCUUGCUUCUCUGAUGUUAGCGGCGGACGGGUGAGUAACACGUGGAUAACCUACCUAUAAGACUGGGAUAACUUCGGGAAACCGGAGCUAAUACCGGAUAAUAUUUUGAACCGCAUGGUUCAAAAGUGAAAGACGGUCUUGCUGUCACUUAUAGAUGGAUCCGCGCUGCAUUAGCUAGUUGGUAAGGUAACGGCCUACCAAGGCAACGAUGCAUAGCCGACCUGAGAGGGUGAUCGGCCACACUGGAACUGAGACACGGUCCAGACUCCUACGGGAGGCAGCAGUAGGGAAUCUUCCGCAAUGGGCGAAAGCCUGACGGAGCAACGCCGCGUGAGUGAUGAAGGUCUUCGGAUCGUAAAACUCUGUUAUUAGGGAAGAACAUAUGUGUAAGUAACUGUGCACAUCUUGACGGUACCUAAUCAGAAAGCCACGGCUAACUACGUGCCAGCAGCCGCGGUAAUACGUAGGUGGCAAGCGUUAUCCGGAAUUAUUGGGCGUAAAGCGCGCGUAGGCGGUUUUUUAAGUCUGAUGUGAAAGCCCACGGCUCAACCGUGGAGGGUCAUUGGAAACUGGAAAACUUGAGUGCAGAAGAGGAAAGUGGAAUUCCAUGUGUAGCGGUGAAAUGCGCAGAGAUAUGGAGGAACACCAGUGGCGAAGGCGACUUUCUGGUCUGUAACUGACGCUGAUGUGCGAAAGCGUGGGGAUCAAACAGGAUUAGAUACCCUGGUAGUCCACGCCGUAAACGAUGAGUGCUAAGUGUUAGGGGGUUUCCGCCCCUUAGUGCUGCAGCUAACGCAUUAAGCACUCCGCCUGGGGAGUACGACCGCAAGGUUGAAACUCAAAGGAAUUGACGGGGACCCGCACAAGCGGUGGAGCAUGUGGUUUAAUUCGAAGCAACGCGAAGAACCUUACCAAAUCUUGACAUCCUUUGACAACUCUAGAGAUAGAGCUUUCCCCUUCGGGGGACAAAGUGACAGGUGGUGCAUGGUUGUCGUCAGCUCGUGUCGUGAGAUGUUGGGUUAAGUCCCGCAACGAGCGCAACCCUUAAGCUUAGUUGCCAUCAUUAAGUUGGGCACUCUAAGUUGACUGCCGGUGACAAACCGGAGGAAGGUGGGGAUGACGUCAAAUCAUCAUGCCCCUUAUGAUUUGGGCUACACACGUGCUACAAUGGACAAUACAAAGGGCAGCGAAACCGCGAGGUCAAGCAAAUCCCAUAAAGUUGUUCUCAGUUCGGAUUGUAGUCUGCAACUCGACUACAUGAAGCUGGAAUCGCUAGUAAUCGUAGAUCAGCAUGCUACGGUGAAUACGUUCCCGGGUCU